UCCUCCUCCAUCUGCAGGAGAUGUUCCACUGAUGCUAUUAUUAUAUCUAUAUGUCUAAUACAGCAGCAGCUUUAGCAAAAGAGCGUCCUUGACGUAAUAAUUAAUAAGGACACGCCUUUGCAGAAAGUAUAAGGACACGCCUGACAAGAUACGUGCUCUGCUGUGAUACGUGCUGAAAAAAAAUAGGAGUUAGUUCCAGAAGUGCUAUAAAUUAUAUGUAUGUACUUCUUUGUCGUCCAACAACUACUGGUGGGCGCAAUCUAUAAUAAUGAUGAUGAUGCUAAAUGAUGAUGAUGCUAAAUAUCACGCAGAGAAGAACAGAGAAUAGAGCACAACAACCACCAAUACAACAACCCCGCGAAUCGCGCUUUGUCGUAUAUUAUUAGUAAUAAAGUGCGCCGCCCCUACUUCUCACCGCUCGCCGACGACAAACAGACAAUUGAAAUGAGACCGUCACAGCGAGAGCUAUCAGGACGUUUUUAAAAUUUUAUUUAUGGAGCAGGCGCCAAGUAGAAAACAAGCCGCGAAGAAGCAGAAGACGACAUGUGUCUAAUGCGCGCGAACCACGGAACAAGACAAACACCAAUCAAUACACCGCAACAAAAGCACAAAGAUACAGCUUUAGCGUCCUCGAAAGGACACGCCGGCAGUAAGGGCGAUUUACAAGAAAGUUGUGGAAUAUAGACUAACGCUGCCCGAUACAAGUCAUCGGCUACUCCCGCCGGAGUGGUCAGGGAGCCUGUGGUGUGCUAAGACAUAGUUAUUUGCAGUACGUAUGCGCAAUUGGUGAUCGUGGGUUCAAGUCACGGCUCAUGCGGGUGCGAUUUGCGUUCAUCGCUGACGCGUUAUGUUAAUCGACUUGUCCAGCAGCAGCAUGAGACGAUGUAUUAAGCUUUCUUCAACUUUUGUUUUAUAAAUAAUAACAAUCAUUGUUGAAUUGUUGAAACAAGAAAAUGUGUUUUUUCUUAAUGUAUAUAACCUAACGUUCUUUUCUGCAUGCUGCAGGACAG
rnacentral:lncRNA from 1 species